GACGAACGCUGGCGGCGUGCUUAACACAUGCAAGUCGAACGGUAAGGCCCUUCGGGGUACACGAGUGGCGAACGGGUGAGUAACGCGUGAGUAACCUGCCCUUCACUCUGGGAUAACAGUUGGAAACGGCUGCUAAUACCGGAUAUUCAGCUCCUGUCGCAUGGUGGGGGUUGGAAAGUUUUGGUGGUGGAGGAUGGGCUCGCGUCCUAUCAGCUUGUUGGUGGGGUGAUGGCCUACCAAGGCGUCGACGGGUAGCCGGCCUGAGAGGGCGACCGGCCACAUUGGGACUGAGAUGCGGCGCAACCUCCAGGGGGAGAAAAGAAGGGGGAAUAUUGAAAAAGGGGAGGAGGCUGAGGGCGGCAAGCCCGCGGGGGGGAGGGCGGCUUUCGGUUUGUACACCUCUUACAGGGGGGAGGAAGGAGAAGAGACGUUACCUGGGAAGGACACACGGGCUAGCUACGAG
rnacentral:rRNA from 1 species